rnacentral:rRNA from 1 species
CCUACGGGUGGCAGCAGUGGGGAAUAUUGCACAAUGGGGGAAACCCUGAUGCAGCGACGCCGCGUGAGCGAAGAAGUAUUUCGGUAUGUAAAGCUCUAUCAGCAGGGAAGAAAAUGACGGUACCUGAGUAAGAAGCCCCGGCUAAAUACGGGCCAGCAGCCGCGGUAAUACGUAUGGAGCAAGCGUUAUCCGGAUUUACUGGGCGUAAAGGGGGCGUAGGCGGGCUGCCAAGUCUGAUGUGAAAUACCGGGGCUCAACCCCGGGGCUGCAUUGGAAACUGGCAGGCUGGAGUGCAGGAGAGGCAGGCGGAAUUCCUAGUGUAGCGGUGAAAUGCGUAGAUAUUAGGAGGAACACCAGUGGCGAAGGCGGCCUGCUGGACGGUGACUGACGCUGAGGCUCGAAAGCGUGGGGAGCAAACAGGAUUAGAUACCCGUGUAGUC